GACCCCCCGCGCCUCUCUCCUGCCCGCAGGAAUACGCCGCCUGCGAGGCUUUCGUGCGCCUGAAGGGCCUGGCCAUGCUUCUCCUGGGUACCGGAGCGAGCUUUGCCGUUCUCAGGAAACCCCUUCCCCUCCCCUGGAGCGCCCUCUUCUCUCUGGCUGUGGCUUCGUUACCCAGCUAUGCAGUGACCCGGAGGCAGCUGAAGAAGUGUGCUGACUUAUGGGACCUCCAGCCCCCCCGCCCCCCAGAGGUAGCCCAAGGUGAGCAGUGAGGGAGGUCGAAGCAUCUUUCUGGGCAGAAGCCUAAAGGAACCUUUUUCCAGGCUAAGAGAACACAGACUUCUUCUCCUGAGAUGAAGGGAGGCAAGUGGAAGAGCCCCCCCACCCCCUGCAGUGACACUCGGGAGUAGCUGUUUUUGGCCAUUUAAUCAUGUUGUAAGCGAAGCAGGAAUAAAAUGCAAACUGUC